rnacentral:tRNA from 1 species
CGAUCUAUGGCUAAAUUGUUUAAGGCAUAUCGCCGAUGACAGGCGAGGGUGCGGGUUCGAGUCCCGCUAGAACGG